rnacentral:lncRNA from 1 species
GCAGAAGGAGGAAGGACAGCACAGCCUACAGCCGUGCUCAGGAAGUUUCUGGAACCUAGGCUCAUCUCCACAGAGGAGAACACACAAGCAGCAGAGACCAUGGGGCCCCUCUCAGCCCCUCCCUGCACACAGCACAUCAAAUGGAAGGGGGUCCUGCUCACAGCAUCACUUUUAAACUUCUGGAACCCACCUACCAUUGCCCAAGUCACGACUGAAGCCCAGCCACCCAAAGUUUCCGAGGGGAAGGAUGUUCUUCUACUUGUCCACAAUUUGCCCCAGAAUCUUACUGGUUACAUGUGGUAGAAAGGGCAAAUAAGGGACCUCUACCAUUACAUUACAUCAUAUGUAGUAGACGGUCAAAGAAUUACAUAUGGGCCUGCAUACAGUGGACGAGAAACAGUAUAUUCCAAUGCAUCCCUGCUGAUCCAGAAUGUCACCCGGGAGGACGGAGUAUCCUACACCUUACACAUCAUACAGCGAGGUGAUGGGACUAGAGGAGUAACUGGAAAUUUCACCUUCACCUUAUACCCGAAGCUGCCCAAGCCCUACAUCACCAUCAACAACUCAAAACCCAGGGAGAAUAAGGAUGUCUUACCCUUCACCUGUGACCCUAAAAGUGAGAACUACACCUACACGUGGUGGCUAAAUGGUCAGAGCCUCCCAGUCAGUCCCAGGGUAAAGUGACCCAUUGAAAACAGGAUCCUCAUUCUACCCAGUGUCACGAGAAAUGAAACAGGACCCUAUCAAUGUGAAAUACGGGACCGAUAUGGUGGCAUCCGCAGUAACCCAGUCACCCUGAAUGUCCUCUAUGGUCCAGACCUCCCCAGAAUUUACCCUUCAUUCACCUAUUACCGUUCAGGACAAAACCUUUACUUGUCCUGCUUCGCGGAAUGUAACCCACCGGCAUAGUACUCUUGGACAAUUAAUGGGAAGUUUCAGCAAUCAGAACAAAAGCUCUUUAUCCCCCAAAUUACUACAAAGCAUAGAGGGCUCUAUGCUUGCUCUGUUCGUAACUCAGCCACUGGCAAGGAAAGCUCCAAAUCCAUGACAGUCGAAGUCUCUGGUGCCUGCCAUGGAGACCUGGCAGGGUCUCAUUCGUGACUGCCAUAACAGAGACACUGAGAAAAAGAUGCAACCAUGGAAAGGUGCAAAGGUGGCAAGUUCUAAUGACAUAGAAAAUAGCAAUCAGCCUUUCUCACAUCUGAAAGCCUUCCAAAAUAUCUGAGUGCAGUAGAGAAUUGACAGAGGACUGAUCACCAACCUAGAAGUAUGCUCCUCCAGGA